rnacentral:lncRNA from 1 species
AAGUAAAUAGAAAAAAUAUAUAUAUUAUUCUCAUAUUUGAUUUUAUACAUUUAUACUUGUUAAUCCACAAAUGAUUUUAUUAGAGGUAUUCAAGUAAAUUAGCACAAUAUAUAUUUUUUUUAUGUACAAAGUAUAUAAAUAUACUACCAUGUUGAUUUUUUUCACUUUUUUCCAAUUUAGUCCAUAAUUUUUUUUUCACUAAUUUCAUACAUCUCU